rnacentral:lncRNA from 1 species
GACAUUCACAGCUUUCCUACAAGUCACGGUGUGCACAAAGCUGGGAUUACACUCCGGGUCUUCAUCAACUUCAGUGGCAGAACUGACUUUAACAGCUGAGAAUGGAACCUUCUUGAAGAUAUUAAAGAACAAACAUCAGAGACAUAAAUAAAAAUCUCUGCUUUACACAGGGAAGCCAGCUGAUUUCUCUACCCCACCCACCAAGAGUUAAAGAGGAGAAAGAUGGUGAGCAAGCUGGCAAAAUCGUU